UGGUGAUUUUCAUCCUUCUUCCCUGUUGCCGUCGACGGUUGCGUGUGCCGAUAUUCAGCUGCGCCGAUUCCGGCUACCAACUUCCAUAACCAUCAACCUUCCUGAGAUCCACAGCCGCUUACAUCCCCAAUAUCCUCUGUUUUCAACCAUCGACCACUCAUUUUGUAUCGCCUGUUGGCAGGCAAAACAAUCCCAGUGUCAUUAGGGUGAAACACCUCUCCAAUCUUAUCUUUUGACUAUCAAGAUUUGGUAGUGUGAUUACUUCGUGGUGGCAGAAGAGAGUUCAAGUGUUUGGUCAAGUUGUUCCAUUCAUCGCCAGACAUUGUACAAGAACGUUAGUUGUUUCAUUGAAUUAAAUGUUUCAAAAUUAGUGUCACAUUUGAGCAAUAAAAAUCAAUAUCCUACAUGAGCACCUAAGCAAGUCUACGAAUGAAGGAUGGUUCAGGUAAGCAAGUCUAUGCAAUCUAGAAGUGAUAUCAUGAUGGAUAUUGCAGGCAACUGAGGCAUGCGCUCAUGCUACGUCGAACCCUUUAUUUAAUUCCAUGUUGUACUGUCUUACUAUUGUAUUUUCUGUUUGUAUGACUAUUCGACGAAAUUAUGUCUAGGCCUGCUAGACCUGAAUCGCCCCAAAAUAAACUAUAGGGGGGUGUGCUUAGUUGUCAACUCCUCCUCCUGAUUUUGUAUGACCGUUUUGCGGAAUCACGUCUAGGUCUGCUAGACUUGAAUCGCCUCAAAAUGUACUAUAGGGGGAUGCGACUAGUUGUCAAAUUCUCCCUACCCAAAAAGUUAUAUAGUACUUAAUUCGUUGUGUUGCCUUUUGCUUGUAUGCCAUAUAACAUUGCUUUCAAUAUCU